rnacentral:rRNA from 1 species
CCGCGGUAAUACGUAGGUGGCAAGCGUUGUCCGGAAUUAUUGGGCGUAAAGCGUACGCAGGCGGCGCGUUAAGUCGGGUGUGAAAGCCCGGGGCUCAACCCCGGAAUUGCAUUCGAUACUGGCGUGCUCGAGUGCGGGAGAGGGAAGCGGAAUUCCUGGUGUAGAGGUGAAAUUCGUAGAUAUCAGGAGGAACACCAGUGGCGAAAGCGGCUUCCUGGCCCGAUACUGACGCUCAUGUACGAAAGCGUGGGGAGCAAACAGG